UCACACCCGUUCCCAUUCCGAACACGGAAGUUAAGCUCUUCAGCGCCGAUGGUAGUUGGGACCUUGUCCCUGUGAGAGUAGGACGUCGCUAGGC
rnacentral:rRNA from 1 species